UACGUAGGGCCCGAGCGUUGUCCGGAAUUACUGGGCGUAAAGAGCUCGUAGGUGGUUUGUCGCGUUGUUCGUGAAAACUCACAGCUUAACUGUGGGCGUGCGGGCGAUACGGGCAGACUUGAGUACUGCAGGGGAGACUGGAAUUCCUGGUGUAGCGGUGGAAUGCGCAGAUAUCAGGAGGAACAUCGGUGGCGAAGGCGGCCAGCUGGGCCAUUGCUGACGCUGAUGCGCGACAGCGUGGGGAGCAAACGGAUG
rnacentral:rRNA from 1 species